rnacentral:rRNA from 1 species
GAUGAACGCUGGCGGCGUGCCUAAUACAUGCAAGUCGAACGAACGGGCCAGAAGCUUGCUUCUCUGAUGUUAGCGGCGGACGGGUGAGUAACACGUGGAUAACCUACCUAUCAGAGGGGGAUAACUUCGGGAAACGGGAGCUAAUACCGGAUGAGAUUUUGAACCGCAUGGUUCGAAAGUGAAAGACGGCGUUGCUGUCACUUAUAGAUGGAUCCCCGCUGCAUUAGCUAGUUGGUAGGGUAACGGCUUACCAAGGCAACGAUGCAUAGCCGACCUGAGAGGGUGAUCGGCCACACUGGAACUGAGACACGGUCCAGACUCCUACGGGAGGCAGCAGUAGGGAAUCUUCCGCAAUGGGCGAAAGCCUGACGGAGCAACGCCGCGUGAGUGAUGAAGGUCUUCGGAUCGUAAAACUCUGUUAUUAGGGAAGAACAUAUGUGUAAGUAACUGUGCACAUCUUGACGGUACCUAAUCAGAAAGCCACGGCUAACUACGUG